AUUUAAAUAGCUUAUAAUAAGAGUGUAAUAUUGAAGAUAUUAAGGAGAUAUAUUUAUCUUUAAAUA
rnacentral:tRNA from 1 species